UACAGAGGGUGCAAGCGUUGUUCGGAAUUAUUGGGCGUAAAGGGCGCGUAGGCGGUGCGGUAAGUCACCUGUGAAACCUCUGGGCUUAACUCAGAGCCUGCAGGCGAAACUGCCGUGCUUGAGUGUGGGAGAGGUGCGUGGAAUUCCCGGUGUAGCGGUGAAAUGCGCAGAUAUCGGGAAGAACACCCGUGGCGAAGGCGGCUCUCUGGGACGGUACUGACGCUGAGACGCGAAAGCGUGGGGAGCGAACAGG
rnacentral:rRNA from 1 species